rnacentral:rRNA from 1 species
CAGCAGCCACGGUAAUACGAAGGGGGCUAGCGUUACUCGGAAUUACUGGGCGUAAAGGGCGCGUAGGCGGCACGAUUAGUCGGGCGUGAAAUUCCUGGGCUCAACCUGGGAAUUGCAGUGGAUACUGGGUCACUAGAGUGUGGUAGAGGAUAGUGGAAUUUCCGGUGUAGCAGUGAAAUGCGUAGAGAUCGGAAGGAACAUCUGUGGCGAAGGCGACUAUCUGGGCCAACACUGACACUGAGGCACGAAAGAGUGGGGAGCAAACAGGAUUAGAUACCCCCGUAGUCCCUGUCUCUUAUAC